rnacentral:rRNA from 1 species
GGGUUGUGAGGUUAAGCGACUAAGCGUACACGGUGGAUGCCCUGGCAGUCAGAGGCGAUGAAGGACGUGCUAAUCUGCGAUAAGCGUCGGUAAGGUGAUAUGAACCGUUAUAACCGGCGAUUUCCGAAUGGGGAAACCCAGUGUGAUUCGUCACACUAUCAUUAACUGAAUCCAUAGGUUAAUGAGGCGAACCGGGGGAACUGAAACAUCUAAGUACCCCGAGGAAAAGAAAUCAACCGAGAUUCCCCCAGUAGCGGCGAGCGAACGGGGAGGAGCCCAGAGCCUGAAUCAGUGUGUGUGUUAGUGGAAGCGUCUGGAAAGGCGCGCGAUACAGGGUGACAGCCCCGUACACAAAAAUGCACAUGCUGUGAGCUCGAUGAGUAGGGCGGGACACGUGGUAUCCUGUCUGAAUAUGGGGGGACCAUCCUCCAAGGCUAAAUACUCCUGACUGACCGAUAGUGAACCAGUACCGUGAGGGAAAGGCGAAAAGAACCCCGGCGAGGGGAGUGAAAAAGAACCUGAAACCGUGUACGUACAAGCAGUGGGAGCACAGAGCAAUCUGUGUGACUGCGUACCUUUUGUAUAAUGGGUCAGCGACUUAUAUUCUGUAGCAAGGUUAACCGAAUAGGGGAGCCGAAGGGAAACCGAGUCUUAACUGGGCGUUAAGUUGCAGGGUAUAGACCCGAAACCCGGUGAUCUAGCCAUGGGCAGGUUGAAGGUUGGGUAACACUAACUGGAGGACCGAACCGACUAAUGUUGAAAAAUUAGCGGAUGACUUGUGGCUGGGGGUGAAAGGCCAAUCAAACCGGGAGAUAGCUGGUUCUCCCCGAAAGCUAUUUAGGUAGCGCCUCGUGAAUUCAUCUCCGGGGGUAGAGCACUGUUUCGGCAAGGGGGUCAUCCCGACUUACCAACCCGAUGCAAACUGCGAAUACCGGAGAAUGUUAUCACGGGAGACACACGGCGGGUGCUAACGUCCGUCGUGAAGAGGGAAACAACCCAGACCGCCAGCUAAGGUCCCAAAGUCAUGGUUAAGUGGGAAACGAUGUGGGAAGGCCCAGACAGCCAGGAUGUUGGCUUAGAAGCAGCCAUCAUUUAAAGAAAGCGUAAUAGCUCACUGGUCGAGUCGGCCUGCGCGGAAGAUGUAACGGGGCUAAACCAUGCACCGAAGCUGCGGCAGCGACACUAUGUGUUGUUGGGUAGGGGAGCGUUCUGUAAGCCUGUGAAGGUGUGCUGUGAGGUAUGCUGGAGGUAUCAGAAGUGCGAAUGCUGACAUAAGUAACGAUAAAGCGGGUGAAAAGCCCGCUCGCCGGAAGACCAAGGGUUCCUGUCCAACGUUAAUCGGGGCAGGGUGAGUCGACCCCUAAGGCGAGGCCGAAAGGCGUAGUCGAUGGGAAACAGGUUAAUAUUCCUGUACUUGGUGUUACUGCGAAGGGGGGACGGAGAAGGCUAUGUUGGCCGGGCGACGGUUGUCCCGGUUUAAGCGUGUAGGCUGGUUUUCCAGGCAAAUCCGGAAAAUCAAGGCUGAGGCGUGAUGACGAGGCACUACGGUGCUGAAGCAACAAAUGCCCUGCUUCCAGGAAAAGCCUCUAAGCAUCAGGUAACAUCAAAUCGUACCCCAAACCGACACAGGUGGUCAGGUAGAGAAUACCAAGGCGCUUGAGAGAACUCGGGUGAAGGAACUAGGCAAAAUGGUGCCGUAACUUCGGGAGAAGGCACGCUGAUAUGUAGGUGAAGUCCCUCGCGGAUGGAGCUGAAAUCAGUCGAAGAUACCAGCUGGCUGCAACUGUUUAUUAAAAACACAGCACUGUGCAAACACGAAAGUGGACGUAUACGGUGUGACGCCUGCCCGGUGCCGGAAGGUUAAUUGAUGGGGUCAGCGCAAGCGAAGCUCUUGAUCGAAGCCCCGGUAAACGGCGGCCGUAACUAUAACGGUCCUAAGGUAGCGAAAUUCCUUGUCGGGUAAGUUCCGACCUGCACGAAUGGCGUAAUGAUGGCCAGGCUGUCUCCACCCGAGACUCAGUGAAAUUGAACUCGCUGUGAAGAUGCAGUGUACCCGCGGCAAGACGGAAAGACCCCGUGAACCUUUACUAUAGCUUGACACUGAACAUUGAGCCUUGAUGUGUAGGAUAGGUGGGAGGCUUUGAAGUGUGGACGCCAGUCUGCAUGGAGCCGACCUUGAAAUACCACCCUUUAAUGUUUGAUGUUCUAACGUUGACCCGUGAUCCGGGUUGCGGACAGUGUCUGGUGGGUAGUUUGACUGGGGCGGUCUCCUCCUAAAGAGUAACGGAGGAGCACGAAGGUUGGCUAAUCCUGGUCGGACAUCAGGAGGUUAGUGCAAUGGCAUAAGCCAGCUUGACUGCGAGCGUGACGGCGCGAGCAGGUGCGAAAGCAGGUCAUAGUGAUCCGGUGGUUCUGAAUGGAAGGGCCAUCGCUCAACGGAUAAAAGGUACUCCGGGGAUAACAGGCUGAUACCGCCCAAGAGUUCAUAUCGACGGCGGUGUUUGGCACCUCGAUGUCGGCUCAUCACAUCCUGGGGCUGAAGUAGGUCCCAAGGGUAUGGCUGUUCGCCAUUUAAAGUGGUACGCGAGCUGGGUUUAGAACGUCGUGAGACAGUUCGGUCCCUAUCUGCCGUGGGCGCUGGAGAACUGAGGGGGGCUGCUCCUAGUACGAGAGGACCGGAGUGGACGCAUCACUGGUGUUCGGGUUGUCAUGCCAAUGGCACUGCCCGGUAGCUAAAUGCGGAAGAGAUAAGUGCUGAAAGCAUCUAAGCACGAAACUUGCCCCGAGAUGAGUUCUCCCUGACCCUUUAAGGGUCCUGAAGGAACGUUGAAGACGACGACGUUGAUAGGCCGGGUGUGUAAGCGCAGCGAUGC